AUCCUUAAUAGGGCAUUCAUUACCGACUGUUGCUGCGAAGCAUGACGUCACUGAUGCCAGAAGUUAUUCAUGGAUGUUUUCAUCUUAAGUUCAAUAUGUGUUCAUCAAUCCCAGAGUGGCUCCUCUACGGAGUAUUCAUGCUGAUACUUAUCACUGAGGAAAAUGCCAUCUAUUGACGCUGCUGCGCCUAUAGGUGCCACCAGGCAAGGGAUCGUUGUGCGAUUCUUUGUAGUUGAAGUCAGCCACCAGCCAGUGUUAAGUGUAUGCAACUGAGCAACUGCAAACAGCCUCAGGAGAGGGGAGAAGGAUAAUCGGGCACAGAGCCCUGGGAAUCGAAGCACAACCUUUGGUACAAUGCUGGUAUUCCAUUCGCGACUUGUCUGAGGCGCGCUUCACACAUACAGCGUAUGUGAGCAAGUUUCCACACUGCAGAACGACACAGUCGCUCCAUCAUGGAUUCGAGCUGGCUUUCAGGCAAAACAGCCGACCAUGUUAACACCGCCCACAUUCGGCGCAUUGUGUGACCAGAGGACCGUAGUUUUCAAGUUGCUUUGAGGCGAUCAAAAGAAUCAUAU
rnacentral:sRNA from 2 species